AAAAGGGGGUAUGGGGGGGGGCGGCACAAAAAAAAGAGGGGGGGGGACGGCCCCGCCAAGCGCGGACCCCGGCGCUUGCGGCCAGCACGUCGGGGGGGGCAAACCAAGAGACCGGCCGGGGCCAACCCGGGGGAAGGGGGGGAAGCCGCCAGGCCACCAAGCCCCUGGGGCCCGGGCCUCCCCCCCGGGACAAAGGGAGGGAAAAAGGGCCCGCAAACCCGGGGGAAAAAAGCCAACCCCCAAAGCCCGGUCACAGCCAGGAUUUUUUCUCCCCCCCCCCGGGGGAACCCCCCCCCCUCUUCUUUUUGGGAAGGGGGGAGGGGGGGGUACUACCUCUGGGAGGGGGGGAGG
rnacentral:rRNA from 1 species